CCCGGUUACUCUAUUCCCUCAUGGACCACUCUUUGCUACUUGACUUUGCCAUUCUUCUCAUCACCUGUACUCCACACCUUGCACCUAGGCCCAGAUAUAUGAUUUGUUUUGAUUAAUAUGGUAUUGGCAGAGGCUUGAAGGGAACUUGUACUUUGUGGUUUGCUUCUCUUGCUGCAUCUGGAAUCUGGAGACCCUUAUGAUACCCAGUUUAAGCUAGCCUUUCACAGGAUAGGAAGCCAUGAGGAGAAGAAACAAAGUAUCCCCAGUUGCCUGACAGCCUCUUAACUGCCAAGCAUGUGAGUGAGGCCAUCCUAUAUUAUCCAGUCUCCAGCCGGCCAUAGUCACACAAGAGAGCCCAACAGAGGUAACCUGAGCCCACCCAAACUAGAACUGCCCAACUGACCCAUAGAAUCAUUCAUAAAAUAAAUAAAAUAGUUGUUUCAGGGCAUUAAAAUUUGGGAUGGUUUGUUACACAGACAAAGCCAACGGAUACAUUUCUUUAUUCUCAAAGCACAUGGCAGCUUACCUGAAAGGGGUGCACUUUAUGCCAAGAAGUCUUUGAAUCAUGUGAAAAGCCAUGUGCUGCAGGACUUGGCUUCUAAGAAGUUAGCUCCUCUCCAUUCAAGACCUAUGUUUUUAUCAGUGUCAUCACUUAGGUACCUUUUGAUAUUGAAUCAACAUUCAGUACAUGUCAGCUCUUCUCUUUCAUCUUACACAAUACGGAUCAAGGCAGGUCAAGUGCCUCUGACUCAAGUAAACUCCUCCACUAUUGAGUCAGUCUUUUAUAAGAUCAGACUAUCAAAACUGAGGAUAAUUCCUAUUUGGAAAACAAUUUAUUACACUCUACCAUGUUCAUGGUUGUGUGACAGGUUGAAUUAAAAUAAUUUUCUCCCUACACACCAAGCACAUAAUUUAGUUUGUUGGGUUUACCUGAUUUAGAUAUAGUAGGUUGAUACUCCUAAAAUGGUCUUGUAACUCAAGGGUUUGUAAAUAAGUAAAUUAGUUGAGAAGAACCAAAAUCGCAUGGUUGAUGAACCAUAUUCGGUUUUCAAAAAUGUAUUACCCUAAUUAUCACUAAAAAAAUAAUAUAUUGAGAUCUAAUUACUAUUUCCUCCUCAAUUUAGGAUUGUCAAUAUUUUUAAAACAUGGGUGAUGUUCUGGAUAUAUGUUUCUGAGUAACAAAUCACACCAAAAUUUAGUGACUUGAAAACACAACAAUCAUUUUUAAUCAUCUUUCAUAGUUAUUGAGAGUCAGGAAUUCAUGGAAGAACUGGCUGGGUGGUUGUGGCUCAGGUGUCCAGUUAUUGCAGAUAGAAGAUGGCCAAGAAUAACAGCUGGUGGCUGUCACAUGUCUCUCUCCCACUGUGUAGUCUCAGAGCUUCCCAUGUGGUCUCUGCCUGGGCUAUUUUGGGCUUCCUCACAGCAGGGAUACCUCAGUACACCCAGGCUGUUUACAUGGCAGCCUAGGACUCUAAGCCAGUGUCCCAGAAGAACACUGUCUGGCUUUUUAUCACCUAUGCUCAGAAGUCACAUAACAUUCCUUCUGUCAUAGUCUCAAGCCCAACUCAGGGGGAGAGAGGCUAUACGCCACAUCUCAAUGGGAGGAGUGUCAUAGUUAUAAGAAGAGUGGUGGGUGUGAGAUAUCAUUGUGUCUGUCUUUGGAAAUACAUCUGCCAUCAAAGGCAAAAAUCUCUGACCUGAUCUAAGAUCUAUUUUUUUGGUCUAUAUUUCCUUUAAAAGAAUUGAUACAGGGUAAUCAUUUGGGUUCUUUCUCCAACUACCUGCCUCUAUCAAUGUCCAGCUAUAGCAAGUUAGUUACAAAUCAAAGGAAAAGCCAAGAAUCCAACAUGACUGUCAGGGGCAAAGAUGAAAAAUUUGUCUAAAACCAAAGGGAUCUAAGAUGUUCACUGAGUAGCUCUGACCUAUUUAAGAGACAACGAAAUUCAAAAAUCUGGGAGAAUACUAGGGUAAGAAAAAACCAACAACCAAAAAAACCAUCCAUCUAUCAGAAUAGCCUUGAAUUCUGCUCCCACAAGGAAGAAGGAAGCUGGGAGGGUCACGCAGACCAAACCACCUUGUACGCAUCAUUAUCUCAUAUUCUUUCAGAUGUUUGGUAUAGAACUGAUAUCAUGUCUAUAAAAACUUCUAGAAACCCUGGGAUUUACAGACACUAGGGAAAUGUCGUUCGACUAACGCAAAAGCUAAAUACAAAAGAAAAAUAAAAGAAAGGGGUUGUUGCUCUCAGUUUAAAUGCUUUCAUUUGCACUUUCCCACAAGAUGGGACAUGAAGACAAUGAAACAGAAGUAGGCUGUCAGGUCAUGUCCUAUCUUCUGACCCAUUUCUUCCCAUCACAAGGUGUUCCUUCUUUAGGACUAGCAAGCAGAUCUCACUAGCAACUUUACAAACGUGCUUCUGGACUUUGCAGCUGUCCUUCCAGUAUCCCAGGUAUACGAGGCUGUGGCAACUUUUUAAAAGAUGCAGCUUAUUUUGAGAAGUUUGUAAGCUUGAACAUUAUUUCCAGGUACAUUUAAAAAAUGUGGCUCCUUAAAGAUGUAUCCUAACCAAUAGUUUAUUGAGGACCUAUUAUGUACCCCUGACUGGGAUAGACACCAUGGCAGAUUAAUAAACAAUAGUACAGAUUGUUACAUAGAUAUGGCCAGCCCCCUUAAGAUGCUGAUAGUAACUCUCAGUGUGCAGGUAUUCCCUGUACUGACCAUAUUUUAAGCAUAAUAAUCAAUCAUAAAUCUUUUCAAUAUAUAGACGUUAUCUGAGCUGUGGUGGCUUGAAGUCCUCAUCAUAUCAAAAACCAAAAAGUUGUUCAAAGACUUUGCUCUUUUCCAAGGAGACUUUACUCUUUUCUUUAGGAAGGAGCAUAUCUGAAUAAACUUUACUUGCCUGACAUUCAGGCCCUUGAUAUCUUCUCAUUGAGAUUGUGUCCAAGUGGACUUUGCUUGGAAUCCCCCUCAACAUUUCCCCCCUUUCUGGCACUUUAAAAUUUCUCUGCAAGCAGUCUAAAUGCCCUAUGGGGUUAUAACACAUUAAAAAUCCUCUUUCAUCAUCUCACUUACUAUCUGAAAUUAUAUGGCAUGGAAACAGUAGAAGGUCCCUUCUUUACCAUGAUAGGCUAAUUCUGAUGAUUAACUGAGAAACUGUUAAAUUUUACAUCAAUGCUUCACUGUAUUGUGAAAUUGGUAUUAACAGGUAGGGUUGGGGAGAAUUCUAAUAAGAUCAUAGGUUUGGAGGAGAGCAGGCUAAGAGUGUCUCUCUUUCCAAAGCAGUUUCUAAACCCUGAUCUUAACAUUUGGUAUCUGAAUGACUCUUGGAAAUUUUGAAAUGAAUCUUGCAUUCUUUCCAGGAAUUGAUCCUGGAAUGGAAAUAGAAGACAGAAAGCCAAUGUGUACAAUGUCUCACUGUUGAAAACUAUAGCAUUUUUUUGCAUUUUAUUAUUUUUAAUUGAAGUAUAGUGGAUUUACAAUGUUGUGUUGCUUUCUACUCUAUAGCAAAGUGAUUCAGUUAUACAUAUACACACAUCCAUUCUUUGCACAUUUCUUUUCCAUGUGGUUUAUCAUUGGAUAUUGAAUAUACUUCUUCGUGCUAAACAGUAGGAUUUUGUUGAGUAUCCCCUUCCUAUAUAAUAGCUUACAUCUAUUAACCCCCCCAAACUAUAGUAAUUUUUAUUGUUAAGUUGCAUGAAAACAGGGAUCAAACAUAUCAUAUCCCUUCUCAGAGUGAUCUAUUUUAAAGUGUGGGGCAGACAGCUGAAAGGAGGGACAUGGGACAUUUGGAGUUCAGUUGCUAUUUUUCUUAAAGCUUCUCAGGUGGUUACUUCAUGGGUGUUCAUUGAGUGGACAGCACGAGCAAGGAUUUAAACAUCAAAGAGUAGCCAGGAAGAGGGUCUUAAAGUUUCAUACUGAGAUUUUUAUGACUUCUGUUUUUAGCUCUUGAUCUUAAUUCUAUCAGUCAUAGCACCUGUCCAUCAUUGGAGGAAUACAACACAAUGUUUCCAGGGAAGACUUUUCAUGGUCACCUAUAGGAGAUGCUUUUGGUGCCCCUCUCUCCCCCUUCAGCAACCUCCUGCCCCCAUUCCAAGAUAUCCUGCUGGGAGGACUUGUGAGUCUCAAUACAUGCUAGGGAGUUAGCCCUCUGGGCACAGUUUGUACCAAGGACAGAUGCCAGCUGGAGGAUCAAUACCCCAGCUCCCUCACACACUGGGGGGGGGGGGUGUCACUCUGUUUCAUGCUGUGAUCUCAUCAGUGGGACUGAGCUCCAUUUGCCCCUAGUGGAAAACUAUUCACUAACUCAGCUUGUGUUGUCUCCUUCCCUUCCCUGUCUCACUUCCUGCUCUAUUAUAGGUGCUUUCUAGGGACAUCACCCACAUAAACUCACAUAUUCCUGCUGCUGGAGUCCAACUGAAGACACAACCUUUAGAAAAGAGGUGCUUAGUUCUGCGUGUUCAUCACUCAUUCACCAUACAUUUACUCUGAAUCCACCACGUAUGAGGCACAAUGUAUGGAGCUGGGGAGAGAGAGAUGAGAGGCAAGUGCCUUUCUGUUUUUUAGAAUUGACUUAAAACAAGAACAUUUCUUUUUUUAAAUUUUAUAUUUUUAUUAUUAUAGUUGAUUUACAAUGUUCUGUCAAUUUCUGCUGCACAGCAAAAUGACCCAGCCAUACAUAUACAUACACUUUUUUUUCCCAUAUUAUUUUCCAUUGUGUUCCAUCACAAGUGAUUGGAUAUAGUUCCCUGUACAAUACAGCAGGACCUCAUUGCUUAUCCAUUCCAAACCUAAUGGUUUACAUCUACGCCCCAAACUCCCAGUCCAUUCCAUUCCUCUCCCUCAUGCUUGGCUACCAAAAGUUUGUUCUCUAUGUCUGUGAGUCUGUUUCAGUUCUGUAGAUAGGUUCAUCUAUGCCAUAUUUUAGAUUCCACAUAAGUGAUAUCAUAUGGUAUAUGUAUUUCUCUUUCAACUUAGUUCACUUAGAAUGAGAAUCUUGGGGAGUUCCCAUUGUGGCUCAGUGGUUAAUUAAUCUGGCUAGGAACCAUAAGGUUGUGGGUUCCAUCCCUGGCCUCGCUCAGUGGGUUAAGGAUCUGGCAUUGCCAUGAGCCAUGGUGUAGGUCACAGACAUGGCUCAGAUCCCAUGUUGCUGUGGCUCUGGUGUAGGCCAGCAGCUACAGCUCCAAUUAGACUCCUAGCCCGGGAACCUCCAUAUGCCGCAGGUGUGGCCCUAGAAAAGAUCAAAAAACAAACAAACAAAAAAGAAUGAGAAUCUCUAGUUCCAUCCAUGUUGCUACAAAUGACAUUGAUUUGUUCUUUUUAUGGCCGAGUAGUAUUCCAUUAUGUAUAGGUACCACAUAUUCUUAAUAUAUUCAUCUGUCCAUUGACAUUUAUGUUGUUUCCAUUGUCUUGGCUAAAAACAAAGAUAUCUCAAGAAAGGGAUGUAACCUCUCUCAAGAUCUCCACUCUAAGGAUUCUGCCAGGAGCCUCCAAAACCAUCCCAUGUCCCUAAACAGAUUGUGAAUAGGAGUCCAAUAUGACUUCUGUUUUUUCCUUCCCACUCCUUCUCUUCUUUCUUUGUGUCUCUAUAUAGUUUGGGGUUCUUGAUAGUUUUUCUCUUUUUUGAACAUGGGGAUAACUUUGACAAUUUUAAUGGCAGUAUAAUAUCCAUAUAGAGAAGUGCACCUGUGGCCUAAGAAGUCUUCCUCAUGUACAACUCCCUCUCCUUUAAAUGUUCAUGUUAGUGAGGUUCAUGCAUAGUUUUGUAUGUCAUUGUGCAUUGUUCAUGCCCAUCACUGUGUUGUAUUCCAGUGUAUGAAUAACCAUGAUGGGUUUAUCUGCUCUACUGUUGAUGCGUAAUUGAGUGGCUUCCAUUGUGGUCCAUUCUGGGUAGUGUUGCUCUGAGCAUUCUGAGACAUCUUUAGAUGACUGCAGGUGUGCAUUGCUGUGACCCUGUUUGGUCAUAGAACACAUAUGUAUGUUCAUUUUCAGUAGAUGCUGGCAGGUUUUGCUGGCAGGUUUCCUUGGCAGGUGCACUGGGUUACCCUCUCCACCAAUGGGGUGUGACGGUUCCAUUGUUUUAUUCUCACGCAUGCUUGGUUUCAUUCGUCUUGUUUUCACUUUAGCUAUCUGCCUUUUUAACUUGUCUAUAGAGAAAGAUUUAUGCAUUUUAUCUCUGUUUGCAGCUGAAAACCAGAAGUCUUAUAUGAGAGUAUUGUGAUUAAUAAAAAUUUGUACCUGCUGUAAAAUUUUUGUAUUUUCACACUUCUGGUCCAUAAUUCUUUGAAAUGAUGACUCAUCUUGGGAACUGCCUUUUGCUAAGCUAGUUUGACUCCUUUAACUAGCUAAUCUUCUUUCUCCCCCUCCUAGGAAGUGUUUGCAUCACCCCCUUUCUAACGAAACGUGGGUCCACCCACUGGAGCAUCCCUCUCCGUUGGUCUUUUCUGCCUCAUUAUCUUCCUGAUGCUUUUCAUGUUCCAGGCUAUUUUCAUGCUGAAUCUCCACCAUUCUUUUGAAGCCUCUUCCCUCCCACCCCCAAAGCAAGGAGCAUCUCUUUCUUUUUCUUUGAAUAUGUGUUCAUUUUUUUUUUCACAAAGUCCCUAAGAAGGUACUCGUUUGUUUGCAUUGUUACAUAUUCUCCUUCAUUUCUGAACAUCACUUCAUCCUUAGAAGUGAUGGAAUGGCUAAGAUAGUUAAGAGUAUGGGCUCUGAGGUCAGGUGGCUCAGGUCAAAUGCCAGCUCUGCCACUCACCAGCUUUUUAGCCCUGGGCAUAUCACAUAACAACUGUGAACCUCAGUCUCCUCAUCCAUAAAAUGGAGUGAAUAAUAUUAACUCUCUCUUAGGGUUGUUGGAGACUAAAUGAGAUAUAAGCCUUAGCCUCAUAUCAGGCACAUACUACUAUUCAAUGAAUGUGACUAUUAAUCAAACCAUGCUUGAGUUCCUAUAACUUAUGCCAUAUGGAAUUUCCCUUCCCUUCCAUUUAUCCUUUUCUUUCUUUUUUCCUUCCUUCUUCAAAUGUUUAUGAAAGUCUCCAUAUGCCUGGUCUUAUACCCAGAGGGAGCUGUAAUGGUAAGCAAGGUAGUUAUGGUCUAUGCCCUCAAAGAGCACCUAUUUUAGUUUGGGUGAAAGGAAAUCAGAUACUCAUGCUAAUAAAUCAUCACAAGCUAUGAUAUGUAUCUAUGUAGAAAGGUAUGGGUUCAUGGAUAGUGCCUCCCAGGAAGACGUGAUCUAGUCAGAUGCCCUGAGAAAGAGGCUUUUGGUAUGAUGGGAGGAAUUAAGUAGAUACCCCACCCUCAUUAAGAAAUAUCUUUAUGGAGUUCCUUU
rnacentral:lncRNA from 1 species